CUGAGUUAUUAAGGAAGAAGACAUGAGGAAUGGGAAGGCACAGAGAACUUCACUGUGGAAGAUGCAAACAUAGAGUUUUAGGUAAGGCUAAGAAAACAGAUAGAAGUAAAGUUGAAGAUCAAAACAGAACAAAUUUAUGAAGUUUCGUAAGCAUUCCUAUCAGCACGAAACAG